rnacentral:rRNA from 1 species
AGUGAACGCUGGCGGUAGGCCUAACACAUGCAAGUCGAACGGCCGCACAGUAAGAGCUUGCUCUUACGGGUGGCGAGUGGCGGACGGGUGAGGAAUACAUCGGCAUCUAAUUUUUCGUGGGGGAUAACGUAGGGAAACUUACGCUAAUACCGCAUACGAUCUACGGGUGAAAGCAGGGGAUCUUCGCACCUUGCGCGAUUGAAUGAGCCGAUGUCGGAUUAGCUAGUUGGCGGGGUAACGGCCCACCAAGGCGACGAUCCGUAGCUGGUCUGAGAGGAUGAUCAGCCACACUGGAACUGAGACACGGUCCAGACUCCUACGGGAGGCAGCAGUGGGGAAUAUUGGACAAUGGGCGCAAGCCUGAUCCAGCCAUACCGCGUGGGUGAAGAAGGCCUUCGGGUUGUAAAGCCCUUUUGUUGGGAAAGAAAAGCAGCAGGUUAAUACCCCGCUGUUCUGACGGUACCCAAAGAAUAAGCACCGGCUAACUUCGUG